rnacentral:rRNA from 1 species
UACGUAGGGGGCUAGCGUUGUCCGGAAUCAUUGGGCGUAAAGAGCGUGUAGGCGGUCCGGUAAGUCCGCUGUGAAAGUCGGGGGCUCAACCCUCGAAUGCCGGUGGAUACUGUCGGGCUAGAGUGCGGAAGAGGCGAGUGGAAUUCCUGGUGUAGCGGUGAAAUGCGCAGAUAUCAGGAGGAACACCUAUUGCGAAGGCAGCUCGCUGGGACGUAACUGACACUGAGGGACGAAAGCUAGGGGAGCGAAUGGG